UGGUGUGAGGGUGGUCUUGCUGCCACAGCUAUCAUCUUUUGAUGGACAGGUGGCUAGGUAGAUGACCUCCGUCCCUCAUCAUUUUAGGUACAAGUUCAUCCCUCUGAAGCUGCAAAAGGGUUUGAAGAGGACAUUCUUUCCCAGGAAAGGAAGGCUGCUUUUCAACAAAGAGCAUAAAUAAGCUUAUAGGCUCUUUGGUAAGGUGGACACACCUGCCAGGGAUUGGAAAAAUGGUUUCUAUCAUCUUUUCC
rnacentral:lncRNA from 1 species